AUGGAUUCAGUGGCUCUGGCUUGCUGCACCGCGGCCCUCAUCAUUCUAUUCCUUCCUUUGAGUGCCUCCGACGACCGGCUUGUCCCUGGCAAGCCGCUGGGCUUUGGCAACACCAUCAUCUCUGAUGGCGGAGCGUUCGCCUUAGGCUUCUUCAACCCCUCCAACUCCACUCCAGCCAAGCUGUACCUUGGCAUAUGGUACAACAAUAUCCCUGAGCUCACAGUUGUGUGGGUUGCCAACCGUGAAACCCCAAUCUCCAAUAACACUUCCUCUGCACCGAUGCUCUCCCUCACCAACACCUCCAAUCUCGUUAUCUCCGAAGAUAAUAGUGGCGGCCGUGUCCUUUGGACAACGGCCAACAUAACCACUACCAUUGGCUCGUCUACCCCAACAGCGGUGCUUCUGAACACUGGCAACUUCGUCAUCCGAUCGGCAAACGGUACCACGCUGUGGCAGAGCUUCGACCACCCCACGGACACGCUCCUCCCUGGGAUGAAGAUGCGGAUCAAAUACAGCUCACGUGACACUCGCGAUCAUCUGGUAUCCUGGAAGGGCCCCGGCGACCCUUCUCCAGGACGCUUCUCCUUAGGUGGCGACCUGGACACACCCCUCCAAAUAUUUCUGAGGGACGGGCAGAGCUUGGUGACCGUAGCAACCCAUGGACGGGGAUCCAAGUGUUUAGCUUUAGCCAACAACAGCUGGUAG
rnacentral:rRNA from 1 species